AAUCAUGGUUGCUAUGUGCCGAGGUAAUUAGUCAUAAGAAUAUGCAAAUUCCUUAAGGGGGCAUCAUUUAUAUACCAAUCAUGGAUGCUAUUAGCCGAAAAAGUUAGUCAUGAACAUGCGGAAAUUAUCAAAGGGGGACAUCAUUUACGUCGCAAUUGAAAUAGUAUCAUGUCGCAAUUAAAAAAAAGUAAAUGAAGUACAAAUUCAUAUCAGAAAACAACAAAAACAAAUUAAAGGUCAAUUGGAUGCGAAAAUUAUCAAAGGGGGACAUCAUUUACGUCGCAAAUGAAAUAGUAUCAUGUCGCAAUUAAAACAAAGUAAAUGAAGUACGGAUUCAUACCAGAAAACAACAAAAACAAAUUAAAGGUCAAUUGGAU
rnacentral:lncRNA from 1 species